ACAAAAAGGAUAUACUGCAGGUUACAAACAAGGUCCCCUUUGUAGGAGAUGCAAAAUAAAACAAAAAAAUCCAUUUUUAAACCUAAAAAAGGUCUCCUAUUAGUUUGGAGACUAGAGGUUGUGGCUGAGCCUGCUAACUACCCCCCAUUAUCCAUUUCCCUUCUUCCUUUUAGAUGCAGAGCCUCCUGAGCUUUAGCAGCAGCCCCCAACUACAGACUGCCUCCCUCGCAGCAAGGCUAGAACUGAAACAUGGGCAUGUGAGCCAGCUCAGAUCCUGCAGAUAAGAAUAUCCACAGGGAUGGAAGAGCAACAAGACAGAAGGAACCUGGGCCCAGCUGACUACAAGGAGCUGUGCUAGACAUCCCGACUACCUGUUGACUGUUAGGUGAAAAAGAAAUAAACCAGUGAAAGUACCUUAUUUGGACCACUGCACUUUUUUGGUCUUCAUUAGAGCAGCUUAGUCCAUCCCCUAAUUAAUAUACAGAUCAUCAGAAUCUAAAAAAAAAAGGCUUCUGCUUAGGAGUUCAUAUGAACCUAAAAGAUGAUCAAACUGUACUGUGCAGUGUUUUAAGUGAAAGACUGCAUUUGUGAUCUCAAAUGGAUUAACAAUAUACACAGAGACAUCUUGAGAUAUAUAGGCCCUUCCCAUCUGCCUUCAAGGAAAGCCAGGCUCCUUUGUAAUUAGUAGCCACUAUUUGUACACAAAAGCUGAAUGUCCUAAUAACCCUUUAGAACCCUCUCCUUGGUCUUGUUUACAUUAAUUUGUCAUUAAUCAGACAAAAUCUUUCCCUGGAUGUAGGCUGAGUCUGCACAAAUUAAACCAAUAUCCAGGAAAGGUAACCUUAAACUGGUACUAUUAAUUCUAAAUGUUUACGGCUGUGACAGAAAUGGUAUUGAGAUUUGAAAUAAAUUAUAUUUUAAAUACCUCACUAAACAUUUUGUUAAAGUUUUAUCUUCAUCUUAAAUAACUGAGCCUACAAAAGAACCCAGUGAGCAUCUCUGCCAGUAGAUUUUGUACCUUCCAUGUACCCAGGUAUCCUGAAGAUACACAUAUCAUAGCUAUACUAUAUCAUCCCCCGAAGACAGCAGCCUUCUUUUGUUUAUGGAGCUUGCUCCCUCUGGAAUGCCUUCCUCUCCUUCUGCACCCACUGAAACCUUACAAAUGACCAAAAUAAUACCUGGAAGGUGGGUGUUUGACCUGCAAGUAAGAAUGAAAGGCUCCUGGUUCUUUGUUCCUAUACAGGGCUUAUACACAGAUUAUACAUCUACUAAAGCACUUAUCCCACUAGUGAUAAUAAAGAUAAUCAUCAUGACUUUUAUUACUUUGUACUUUUAAAGUCCCAGGCACUGUGUUAGAUGCUUAACUCAUGUUAUCUUGAAUCCUGAAAAUAAUCUGGCAAGAUAGCAGCCAGUUCCCAUUUUACAAAUGAGGAAAUUAACAAUUAAUUUACUUGCUUAAAACACUAGAGCUAGAAUCCAUACCUAGUUCUCUUGACUUAAAUGUUUGUGCUUUUCACAUAACCCCAUCAUGCAAUAUAUAAUUCUGUUUCUUUCCAUAUAUAUGGGGUUCCCUAAGGUAGGAACUCUGGGCAAUUUAUCUUUGAAUGGCAGUGAUUAGAUGUGCUGUGUUCGUAGAAAAACAAAAUGUAAAUUGUUUUUUAACUUACAUAUUUUUAACACCAAAAACCCUAAUCCAAAAAGAUUUUUUAUGAAUAUGGUCUAUGUGUGUACUUACAGAGGCUCUCAGAUUUUGGGGGUUUGCGGUGGAAUUGUUAUGUACAGCAGACAGAAGAGGUGCUGUUCUGGUUGCAUGAUUAAACCUGGGAUGAAGCAGUUCUCUCUCGUCCUACCCCAGAAACACACCCACACUUCCUGGGAUCUUUGCAUCAAAGCCCUGAAUAUCAAGUCCGAGAAACCCUUGAGGAAGCAGUUAGAAAGCCACUGGUCUGCGUUUUUUUUCUUGGUGUCAACUUCUCACAUUGUUCUUUAUCAGUCUCCUGUUUUUGGUUUGUUUUGUCACUGCUAUAAAUAGCCUUGAAUAAACACCUCUGUAAAAUAUAGGGUUUUUUCCCCCUUUUAGAUUAUUCCCUUGUUGUAUAGUUUCCCAAAUAGAAUUACCAUGUGAAGAAAUAGAAUGCUUUAUAACUUCUUUCAUAUUGUUAAGUUGUUCUUCGGAAAUAAUGAAUAAGAGCAAUGUACAUGUGUUCCACUUUCUUGUAAGAUAGCCAACACUGGGCUUAAUGUUUAAAAGUGAUUAGCUUAAGAGAUAUAUAGUAAUUUAAAUUAAUAAUUUAAAAAAAUUAUUUUUAUUAAGUGCUUGGUAUGACACAGGCAUUAAAUAUGUCAUCUCGUUUAAUCCUCAUAAGACUCUGCUCAGCCCCAUCUGUACCCAGAUAAAGGGCACAUGCCAACCCCACAGGAAUACUGCAGUAACAGAAGCCUUUCACUUCCAAGCAAGGAGAAGAAUUUCCUACCACCUCCAAAUCUUGCUCUGGUUUUCUAGACUGUUCCUUUCUCCAAAUGUAUGCCUCCUGUUGUUUAUGCAUAGUGAGAGAAGACAGCAAAAUACAUAAUACUUAAUCUGCUUAAACUGCUCAUAAAAAUGUGAGCUUUGGCAUGCCCUUCUAUUAAAACUGCCAGUUAAGUGAUUUCCAAAGUCACCUGUGGCAAAAGUAGGAAUCUUAUAAUGGCUGGAGGUGAAAAGAGGAGUCAGAUAACCAUUUAUUUGAAGUUAAAAGGGGGAAGUUUGGGUAGAGGCGUUAUGGUUACCUGACUUGGAUGGAGCUGGCCAUGCAAGCUAAUGUUUCUGCGGUCUUAGAGCCCAGGGGAGAAUUCAUGGCAACACAGGAAUGCAUGAAUCACAGAAGUCCAUGAAUUAGGCCAGGAAUUGGCCUACAGACCAAAUCCAGCCUGCUGCCUGUUUGCAUGAAUAAAGUUUCACUGAACACAGCCAGACUCAUUUGUUUAUAUACUGUUAGGGCUACUUUCAUAGCACAACAGCACAGUUGAGUGGCGGGAACAGAGACCUUCUGGCCCACAAAGCCUGAAGUAUUUAUGAACUGGUCCUUUAUGGAAAAAGUUUGCUGAAUCAGGCUUUGGCGACCUCAAAGCCACUGACUAGCGGGAUGAAAGGGCAGCUGCUCUGAGCGGUUCACCAUCCAGGACCAACUGUGAAACACCAGAUAGGACAGGGGUGCCAUUUCCAAGGAAAUCACAAUGAUCUCAUACCCAGCUGCUUCUGUCCACCUCCCCACCUCUUGAAAAGAGUCUUACUUUCUCCAUUGCCAUCCUCGUCAUCAUCCUCUUCAUCGUCAUCGUCAUCGGUGUAUAAGACAGGCC